AAACACACAUUCUUUCGUUUGAAGUAAAUAUGAGAAAGUGGAAAACUUUGCUUGCUUUUCAGGCGGUGAAGCAGCUGCUCCGGUUGGACGCAGAAAGCCCUGACACACAUAGGUGCCUGUUAAAGUUUUUCCACGUAGUUAGUUCCAUGGCUGCCCCAGCUACUGACUCUGAGAAACUUAUUUGCACUGUAUUAGAAGCUGAACGAUC